rnacentral:rRNA from 1 species
ACGUGGAUAACCUGCCUCAAGGCUGGGGAUAACAUCUGGAAACAGAUGCUAAUACCGAAUAAAACUUAGUAUCGCAUGAUACAAAGUUGAAAGGCGCUACGGCGUCACCUAGAGAUGGGUCCGCGGUGCAUUAGUUAGUUGGUGGGGUAAAGGCCUACCAAGACAAUGAUGCAUAGCCGAGUUGAGAGACUGAUCGGCCACAUUGGGACUGAGACACGGCCCAAACUCCUACGGGAGGCUGCAGUAGGGAAUCUUCCACAAUGGGCGAAAGCCUGAUGGAGCAACGCCGCGUGUGUGAUGAAGGCUUUAGGGUCGUAAAGCACUGUUGUAUGGGAAGAAAUGCUAGAAUAGGGAAUGAUUCUAGUUCGACGGUACCAUACCAGAAAGGGACGGCUAAAUACGUGCCAGCAGCCGCGGUAAUACGUAUGUCCCGAGCGUUAUCCGGAUUUAUUGGGCGUAAAGCGAGCGCAGACGGUUGAUUAAGUCUGAUGUGAAAGCCCGGAGCUCAACUCCGGAAUGGCAUUGGAAACUGGUUAACUUGAGUGUUGUAGAGGUAAGUGGAACUCCAUGUGUAGCGGUGGAAUGCGUAGAUAUAUGGAAGAACACCAGUGGCGAAGGCGGCUUACUGGACAACAACUGACGUUGAGGCUCGAAAGUGUGGGUAGCAAACAGGAUUAGAUACCCUGGUAGUCCACACCGUAAACGAUGAAUACUAGGUGUUAGGAGGUUUCCGCCUCUUAGUGCCGAAGCUAACGCAUUAAGUAUUCCGCCUGGGGAGUACGACCGCAAGGUUGAAACUCAAAGGAAUUGACGGGGACCCGCACAAGCGGUGGAGCAUGUGGUUUAAUUCGAAGCAACGCGAAGAACCUUACCAGGUCUUGACAUCCUUUGAAGCUUUUAGAGAUAGAAGUGUUCUCUUCGGAGACAAAGUGACAGGUGGUGCAUGGUCGUCGUCAGCUCGUGUCGUGAGAUGUUGGGUUAAGUCCCGCAACGAGCGCAACCCUUAUUGUUAGUUGCCAGCAUUCAGUUGGGCACUCUAGCGAGACUGCCGGUGACAAACCGGAGGAAGGCGGGGACGACGUCAGAUCAUCAUGCCCCUUAUGACCUGGGCUACACACGUGCUACAAUGGCGUAUACAACGAGUUGCCAACCCGCGAGGGUGAGCUAAUCUCUUAAAGUACGUCUCAGUUCGGACUGCAGUCUGCAACUCGACUGCACGAAGUCGGAAUCGCUAGUAAUCGCGGAUCA